rnacentral:rRNA from 1 species
GAUGAACGCUGGCGGCGUGCCUAAUACAUGCAAGUCGAGCGAACAGACGAGGAGCUUGCUCCUCUGACGUUAGCGGCGGACGGGUGAGUAACACGUGGAUAACCUACCUAUAAGACUGGGAUAACUUCGGGAAACCGGAGCUAAUACCGGGUAAUAUAUUGAACCGCAUGGCUCAAUAGUGAAAGACGGUUUUGCUGUCACUUAUAGAUGGAUCCGCGCCGCAUUAGCUAGUUGGUAAGGUAACGGCUUACCAAGGCAACGAUGCGUAGCCGACCUGAGAGGGUGAUCGGCCACACUGGAACUGAGACACGGUCCAGACUCCUACGGGAGGCAGCAGUAGGGAAUCUUCCGCAAUGGGCGAAAGCCUGACGGAGCAACGCCGCGUGAGUGAUGAAGGUCUUCGGAUCGUAAAACUCUGUUAUUAGGGAAGAACAAAUGUGUAAGUAACUAUGCACGUCUUGACGGUACCUAAUCAGAAAGCCACGGCUAACUACGU